rfam:Tursiops truncatus cont1.432345, whole genome shotgun sequence.
GAGGUCAAGUAGGGAUUUAUGUGGUUACUGUUCUCUUCCUAGGACACGGAGUGAAAAAUAGGAUUCCUUUUUAAGGCGCUGGUAUAAAUUCUUACUUGGGGGUUACAAAAAGCGUCACACGGGGAACGGGGUAAGAGCGGCUGGUAAGCCAUAG